rnacentral:rRNA from 1 species
UGGGGAAUUUUGGACAAUGGGCGCAAGCCUGAUCCAGCAAUGCCGCGUGCGGGAAGAAGGCCUUCGGGUUGUAAACCGCUUUUGGCAGGAACGAAACGGUGCCCGCUAAUACCGGGCGCUAAUGACGGUACCUGCAGAAUAAGCACCGGCUAACUACGUGCCAGCAGCCGCGGUAAUACGUAGGGUGCGAGCGUUAAUCGGAAUUACUGGGCGUAAAGCGUGCGCAGGCGGUUGUGUAAGACAGGCGUGAAAUCCCCGGGCUCAACUGGGAAUGGCGCUUGUGACUGCACGGCUGGAGUGCGGCANAGGGGGAUGGAAUUCCGCGUGUAGCAGUGAAAUGCGUAGAUAUGCGGAGGAACACCGAUGGCGAAGGCAAUCCCCUGGGCCUGCACUGACGCUCAUGCACGAAAGCGUGGGGAGCAAACAGGAUUAGAUACCCUGGUAGUCCACGCCCUAAACGAUGUCGACUGGCUUGUUGGGGUCUUAGGUGACUCAGUAACGAAGCUAACGCGUGAAGUCGACCGCCUGGGGAGUACGGCCGCAAGGUUGAAA